rnacentral:rRNA from 1 species
GGAUACUGGGCGUAAGCGUGCGUAGGUGGUGGUUUAAGUCUGCUGUGAAAGCCCUGGGCUCAACCUGGGAAUUGCAGUGGAUACUGGAUCACUAGAGUGUGGUAGAGGGAUGCGGAAUUUCUGGUGUAGCAGUGAAAUGCGUAGAGAUCAGAAGGAACAUCCGUGGCGAAGGCGGCAUCCUGGGCCAACACUGACACUGAGGCACGAAAGCGUGGGGAGCAAACAGGAUUAGAUACCCUGGUAGUCCACGCCCUAAACGAUGCGAACUGGAUGUUGGGUGCAACUUGGCACCCAGUAUCGAAGCUAACGCGUUAAGUUCGCCGCCUGGGGAGUACGGUCGCAAGACUGAAACUCAAAAAA